rnacentral:rRNA from 1 species
GUGGGGAAUAUUGGACAAUGGGGGGAACCCUGAUCCAGCCAUGCCGCGUGUGUGAAGAAGGCCUUUUGGUUGUAAAGCACUUUAAGCGAGGAGGAGGCUCUUCUAGUUAAUACCUAGGAUGAGUGGACGUUACUCGCAGAAUAAGCACCGGCUAACUCUGUGCCAGCAGCCGCGGUAAUACAGAGGGUGCGAGCGUUAAUCGGAUUUACUGGGCGUAAAGCGUACGUAGGCGGCUUUUUAAGUCGGAUGUGAAAUCCCUGAGCUUAACUUGGGAAUUGCAUUCGAUACUGGUUGGCUAGAGUAUGGGAGAGGAUGGUAGAAUUCCAGGUGUAGCGGUGAAAUGCGUAGAGAUCUGGAGGAAUACCGAUGGCGAAGGCAGCCAUCUGGCCUAAUACUGACACUGAGGUGCGAAAGCAUGGGGAGCAAACAGGAUUAGAAACCCGGGUAGUCC